rnacentral:rRNA from 1 species
UUAAGCUGAGAAGAGCGUAGGGAGAAUGCCUUGGCAUUAGGAGCCGAUGAAGGACGUGAUAAGCUGCGAUAAGCUGCGGGGAUCAGCAAGUAUGAAUUGAUCCGCAGAUUUCCGAAUGGAGCAAUCCGUAUGUGUAUGCACAUACAUCAUAUACUGAAUCAAAUAGGUAUAUGAGGGGAACCGCCUGAACUGAAACAUCUAAGUAGGGCGAGGAAGAGAAAUCAACCGAGAUUCUGUGAGUAGUGGCGAGCGAAAGCGGAAGAGGCUAAACCAUAGGUAGCAAUACUUAUGGGGUUUCGGACAGCAUUUAGUAUUGAUAAUUUCUAGUUGAAACGUGUGGGAAAACGUACCGGAGAGUGUGAGAGUCACGUAAGCGAAAGAGAAAGUCAGCGAGCUGUAUCCAAAGUACCGCGGGACACGUGAAACCCCGUGGGAAGAUGGGGGGACCAUCCUCCAAGCCUAAAUACUACCUAAUGACCGAUAGCGAAUAGUACUGUGAAGGAACGGUGAAAAGAACCCCGGGAGGGGAGUGAAAAAGAACCUGAAACCCUAUGCUUACAAGCACCGAGAGCACGUCAAAGUGUGAUCGGGUACCUUUUGUAGAAUGGUCCGGCGAGUUAUUGUAUGCGGCAAGGUUAAGUGCUUAAGGCACGGAGCCGAAGCGAGAGCAAGUCUGAAUAGGGCGAGUAAGUCGUAUGCAAUAGACCCGAAACCGAGUGACCUAUCCAUGUCCAGGCUGAAGUGGAGGUAAAACUCCAUGGAGGGCCGAACACACGUCCGUUGAAAAGGCCGGUGAUGAGGUGUGGAUAGCGGAGAAAUUCCAAUCGAACUCGGAUAUAGCUGGUUCUCUCCGAAAUAGCUUUAGGGCUAGCCUCGUGAAAGAUUACUGGAGGUAAAGCACUGAAUGGGCUAGGGGUCGAAAGAUUACUGAACCCUAUCAAACUAAGAAUGCCAGAUAAUUGAUUCACGGGAGUCAGACAAUGUGAGAUAAGUCUCAUUGUCAAAAGGGAAACAGCCCAGACCCACAGCUAAGGUCCCUAAACAUUGUUAAGUGGAAAAGGAUGUGGGGUUGCAUAAACAACCAGGAUGUUGGCUUAGAAGCAGCCACUCAUUAAAAGAGUGCGUAAUAGCUCACUGGUCGAGUGACCCUGCGCCGAAAAUUCAACGGGGCUAAACAAUGUACCGAAGCUUGGGAUUCUAGAUUUAUCUAGAGUGGUAGGAGAGCGUCGAAUAAGGGGUGAAGUCAGAGCGGAAGCGCUGGUGGACUUUAUUCGAGUGAGAAUGCCGGAAUGAGUAGCGAGAAUUAUGUGAGAAUCAUAAUGGCCGAAAAUCUAAGGUUUCCUGAGGAAGGUUCGUCCGCUCAGGGUAAGCCGGGGGCUAAGGCGAGGCGGAGACGCGUAGCCGAUGCACAUACGGUUGAAAUUCCGUAGCCACCGAAAGAUUUAAGUACAGGGACGCUUUAGAAGUGAUGUAGCCGGGCGAUGGUUGACCCGGUCGUAAGGGAUCGAAAAUGAGUAGAGAAGUCAUCAUGGAAAGAGACAAGAAAAGCUGUAUGAAUAUCUUAGGUGCCCGUACCGCAAACCGACACAGGUAGAUAGGAAGAAGAUUCUAAGGCCAACGGGAGAAGGGUUGUUAAGGAACUCGGCAAGUUGACCCCGUAACUUAGGGAUAAGGGGUGCUCAAGUGAUUGAGCCGCAGAGAAUAGGCCCAGGCGACUGUUUAGCAAAAACACAGGUCUCUGCUAAAUCGAAAGAUGACGUAUAGGGGCUGACACCUGCCCGGUGCCGGAAGGUUAAGAGGAGAUGUGAGAGCAUUGAAUUGAAGCCCCGGUAAACGGCGGCCGUAACUAUAACGGUCCUAAGGUAGCGAAAUUCCUUGUCAGGUAAG